UAAGGGUUGAAGGGAAAACCCUAGCCGCCAUCGUAUUCUUUUUCUCUCUCCUAGUCAUAUAUGGCCAAAAAUGGUAAAAACACAGACGUACGAUGCUUUAACAGGUUGUGUAUAGCCGGUUUGAGGAAGCAUUUAUUGUUUUUUGUGCAAAUCCACCGCGCAUCAACCAAACAAGUUUUUGUUUUGUUUGUGGCUGAGGAUUGGGGUAAAGGAGCAAGGAAUCUCCAAAUCCAAUCUCGACAUUUGGCUACACGCAAAAAAGAUAAUUUUCUUUC